GACGAACUGUCCUAACGUUGUUCGGAAUCACUGGGCUUAAAGGGCGCGUAGGCGGUCGAUCAAGUCAGGGGUGAAAUCCUGCAGCUUAACUGUAGAAGUGCCUUUGAUACUGGUCGUCUCGAGGGAGGUAGGGGUGUGUGGAACUUCCAGUGGAGCAGUGAAAUGCGUUGAUAUUGGAAGGAACGCCGGAGGCGAAAGCGACGCACUGGACCUUCUCUAACGCUGAGGCGCGAAAGCUAGGGGAGCAAACGGG
rnacentral:rRNA from 1 species